ensembl:lncRNA
CAUGGACCUAAAGCGUAGAUCCACUUACUUUUCCCCCACGGAAUUGGAAAUUCUAAUGAACGCGUAUACCGAGUAACUGCUCCCGCGGCAGCGAGAGCGUGAGAGAGAGCUCGGCAGGAAAUAGCUGAACAAGUCAAUGCGUGAGUAAAAUAAAUUAGUAAAAUAAAAUAAAAAUAAGAGGACAGGUUAAUAUCUUCCACUUAUUCAAUAUGUAAUUUGUGUGUGUGUGUGUGUGUGUGUGUGUCAAUUUACGCAGGAACAACCCGAGUUGCUCCAAGAGAACUUGGCAGCAAAUGAAGAUGAAGUACAAAAAUAUAGUUCAAACAGCAGAGGCCCGGAAGACUGGAGGGGGUCCACCUCUGCAGCCCUCACAGAGGCUGAGGAGAUGGCCCUCAGAGAACAGAGUAUGCGUCCUGUGGCUGAGGGCAUCCCUGGGGGGAGCUCCUCUGAUCCCCCCCCAACCCCCAGGAUAGAAGUGCCUUUAUAAGAGGUUGGUUAUUCAAAAUAAUUAAAUAUGUACACGCAACCCAGCGCGUUGCAAAUUAGAUGGGGCAAUAUUCUGGCUCAAGUAAUAAUUUCACUGUCUAAUCAUCUUCUUCCAGUUACUGAUGGCGUCAUCGCCCUACUUGAACCAGAUGCCCUCACCAACCUCCAUGCAAUUGAAGAUGAUGGAGAAACAUUGUCUGCGGCAUUCGAAAGGGAAGAGGAAAGGCCUAUUGAGGAUGAAAUCGAAUCCAAUGAGAGGCCAUCCACUUCUAAAUCACAGCUUGCCUCUGUAAGAUUCUCCCUGGAAUUAUAAUGAAACGCUGUGCUUGGCACUGUGAAAUCCAAUCUCAUCUUUUGCAUUCCUAUAGCUUCCAGUCAAAGACUUAUAUAAAAUAAAAAGCAAAUACACAAAGCAGACUUGGAAAUGGACCACCUUAGGCAAAAGAUGCAAAAGGAUGCUUUGGAGAUCCACAUUUUGGAACAUAAGUUAAAGGUGGGUGAGGUGCAAACUGGGAUCCUGUUCCCUGCUCUAAAAACAUACCCGAUAUGAAUGACUUUUUUUGUGCUUUCAGGAAAUAAAGAAAUCCUCAUAAAAAGUAGCUUGUCUUUAUUAGAACACGGGCUGUGGUGGGACAAGUUAUUUUGUUGAACA